AAAAAAAAAAAAAAAAGGGAAAUCACAGCUGAAAGUCUGAAGCUAUGUGUAGUGGGAAGUGGGGUCAAGCCCAAUCAGUACUCGGUACAUAAUCUUUUGGGUGUGGUUGUACAUAAGAGUGGAGUCUGAGGUCUGGUGCGGCGUGGUAUUGGGUUGCUCAUAAUGGUGCCGUCCAUGGCCAGCCAUCAGUUAGCAAAGAUUUUAUUCCUGCUUUUGCAAUCAUGAUCUGCUCAAGCCUGCCUCUGAAUGAUGCUAAUUGCAAUCUGAUCGAGGCUUUAAUUCUACUGAUAUUUUGUUUCCAUUCCCAACCCCUUUCUUCCCUCUUUUUAAAAUACAACAUGAAAUAGCAAAUAUUGAAAUCAUAUCUUGGUUGGAUUGGAUCAAGUCUAGGAAAAAAGCUCAUGCUCAAACUUACAAGCCAACGGAUUUUCAGGCAAGUGAAUUGAUUUACUGUAAAUAUAUGUAAAUGUAAUUAACAUUGUUGAAUAUUUUUUAAUUAUUUAUAUAAAUCAUCAAUAUAUGUGACAGAUAAGAUGUAAUAUAUUAUAAAACUUUUUUA
rnacentral:misc_RNA from 1 species